rnacentral:rRNA from 1 species
UCCGCACGAGCGCACCCUUAUCCUUUGUUGCCAGCGGUCCGGCCGGGAACUCAAAGGAGACUGCCAGUGAUAAACUGGAGGAAGGUGGGGAUGACGUCAAGUCAUCAUGGCCCUUACGACCAGGGCUACACACGUGCUACAAUGGCGCAUACAAAGAGAAGCGACCUCGCGAGAGCAAGCGGACCUCAUAAAGUGCGUCGUAGUCCGGAUUGGAGUCUGCAACUCGACUCCAUGAAGUCGGAAUCGCUAGUAAUCGUGGAUCAGAAUGCCACGGUGAAUACGUUCCCGGGCCUUGUACACACCGCCCGUCACAGCAUGGGAGUGGGUUGCAAAAGAAGUAGGUAGCUUAACCUUCGGGAGGGCGCUUACCGCUUUGUGAUUCAUGACUGGGGUGAAGUCGUAACAAGGUAACCGUAGGGGAACCUGCGGUUGGAUCACCUCCUU